rnacentral:snRNA from 1 species
GAAUCUCCCUGGCAGGAGAGAUACCAUGAUCACAAAGGUGGUUUACCCAGGGCAAGGCUUAUCCAUUGCAUUCCGGAUGUGCUGACACCUGUGAUUUCCACAAAUGUGGGAAACUCGACUGCAUAAUUUGUAGUAGUGAGGGACUGAAAGAAAAAAAAUCAGCAAUGGUAUCCCUUA